AGCCUGGCAGCCAUGUGGGUGGGGUGGGGGGCAGACAUCCCAUAGAGAUCUAGAGUUCCAAACGAGGAACUGGACUGAGAUCACCCCGUCUCGGUUUGAGAUCCACGGGGCCCACACGUGAUUUCCCACAGGUGGCAGCGUGGAGGCCCCCAGGAUGGGGUUCACCCACCCGCCGGGCCACCUCUCUGGGUGCCAGAGCAGCCUGGCCAGUGGUGAGACGGGGACAGGCUCUGCUGACCCGCCAGGGGGACCCCGCCCCGGGCUGACCCGAAGGGCCCCGGUAAAAGACACACCUGGACGAGCCCCCGCUGCUGACGCAGCUCCAGCAGGCCCCUCCAGCUGCCUGGGCUGAGGUGUCUGGUGCCUGGAACAGACUUCCCUGUGGAGGAUUCCUGCCAGACCCUGCCCGGCUCCUCCCUGACCGGUCCUUGUGCCCUCACCAGACACCCUGUUGGCCAUGACUCAACAAACCAGUGUUGGGAGCCGUCUGCCUCCCCAGCUCAGUGCCUUUCUGCACCCCUUCUCUCCUGGGGAGCUGUCUGCAUCCGCCACCCCCUCCAACCACUGCCCUCAGCCCCCGACCUUAUUUAUUACCCUCCCCUCCCACACCCCCAAUCUACCUGGUGAUGAUUUUAAGUUUGCGCGUGUCUUGGGUUGGGCUGGGGGGUUUCCCACAUGCAGUGUCAGAGGGGCCGCCCGGUGGGGCUAUCUCCGUUGCUAUAUUAAUGGCAAGACUAAAUGAAACCUAGGGCACGGCCUCCGAAGCUGCGUGUGGCCCCUUAGAGGUGAGCAUCAGAGCCAGAGCAGUGAGGGGGAGACUCACCCACCCUCUCCCUCUCCCUUCAGCUCUGGGAGGCAGGCGCAGUGCCCCCCUCCCAUG
rnacentral:lncRNA from 1 species